ACGUAGGUGGCGAGCGUUGUCCGGAAUUACUGGGUGUAAAGGGUGCGUAGGCGGAUUUGCAAGUCAGACGUGAAAACUAUCGGCUUAACCGGUAGCCUGCGUUUGAAACUGUGAGUCUUGAGUGGUGAAGAGGUAAGCGGAAUUCCUAGUGUAGCGGUGAAAUGCGUAGAUAUGAGGAGGAACACCAGUGGCGAAGGCGGCUUACUAGGCACUAACGGACGCUGAGGCACGAAAGCAGGGGGAGCACACAG
rnacentral:rRNA from 1 species